GAUGAACGCUAGCUACAGGCUUAACACAUGCAAGUCGCGGGGCAGCAUGGGGGUUGCUUGCAAUCCCCGAUGGCGACCGGCGCACGGGUGAGUAACGCGUAUCCAACCUGCCCUUCACCACGGGAUAACCCGGCGAAAGUCGGACUAAUACCGUAUGUUGUCCAUUGACGGCAUCCGAUUUGGACGAAAGGCUUGGCGGUGAGGGAUGGGGAUGCGUCCGAUUAGCCAGACGGCGGGGUAACGGCCCACCGUGGCUACGAUCGGUAGGGGUUCUGAGAGGAAGGUCCCCCACACUGGAACUGAGACACGGUCCAGACUCCGACGGGAGGCAGCAGUGAGGAAUAUUGGUCAAUGGGCGUAAGCCUGAACCAGCCAAGUAGCGUGCAGGAUGACGGCCCUAUGGGUUGUAAACUGCUUUUAUGCGGGGAUAAAGUGGCCCACGUGUGGGCUUUUGCAGGUACCGCAUGAAUAAGGACCGGCUAAUUCCGUG
rnacentral:rRNA from 1 species